rnacentral:rRNA from 1 species
AAGAAAGUUACAAAGGGCGCACGGGGGAUGCCUGGGCUCUUAGAGGCGAAGAAGGACGUGAUAAGCUGCGAAAAGCCGCGGGAAGGUGCAAAUGACCUGAGAUCCGCGGAUAUCCGAAUGGGGCAACCCGCCAUGUUGAAGGCAUGGCACUAUCUACGAUAGGUAGAUAGAGCGAACGUGGGGAACUGAAACAUCUAAGUACCCAUAGGAGAAGAGAACAAAAGUGAUUCCGCGAGUAGUGGCGAGCGAAAGCGGAGAAGCCCAAACCGCAGGGGUUAAGGCCCAUGCGGGGUUGUAGGACUGAGUUGUGGACUUGUACAUGAUAUCGGAACUACCUGGAAAGGUAGGCCGAAGAAGGUGAAAGCCCUGUAUGAGAAAUCGUGUGCAUACCUAUCAGAAUCCUGAGUAGGACGGGACCGGAGGAAUCCUGUUUGAACCCGGCAGCACCAUCUGCCAAGGCUAAAUACUCCUAAGAGACCGAUAGUGGACCAGUACCGUGAGGGAAAGGUGAAAAGUACUCCGAACAGGAGAGUGAAAUAGACCCUGAAACCGUGCGCUUACAAGCGGUCGGAGCCCCUUUUGAGGGGUGACGGCGUGCCUUUUGCAUAAUGAGCCUACGAGUUACAUUUUUCCGGCGAGGUUAAGCGCCAAGAGGCGUGCAGCCGCAGCGAAAGCGAGUCUGAACAGGGCGUAUAGUCGGAGGAAGUAGACGCGAAACUUUGUGAUCUACCCAUGAGCAGGUUGAAGUGUCGGUAACACGAUAUGGAGGACCGAACCGAUAGACGUUGAAAAGUCUCCGGAUGACUUGUGGGUAGGGGUGAAAGGCUAAUCAAACUGAGAGAUAGCUCGUACUCCCCGAAAUGUUUUUAGGAACAGCCUCGGAAGCGAGCGUAUGUCAGAGGUAGAGCUACUGAUAGGAUGCGGGGGUUUCAUCGCCUGCCAAAUCCUGACAAACUCCGAAUGCUGACAUACAGGUCCGGGAGUGAGGCCAUGGGUGCUAAUGUCCGUGGCCGAGAGGAGAAGAAUCCAGACUACCGGCUAAGGCCCCCAAAUGUAUGCUAAGUUGAAAAUAACGAGGUUUUAUUGCAUAGACAGCUAGGAUGUUGGCUUGGAAGCAGCCAUACAUUUAAAGAGUGCGUAACAGCUCACUAGUCGAGCGAUAGAGCGUGGAUAAUAAUCGGGCAUCAAGCAUACUGCCGAAGCUGUAGACUCUGCGGAGUGGUAGGGGAGCAUUCCUAUGGCGCUGAAGGUGAUUCGUAAGGGUUGCUGGAGCGAUAGGAAAAGCAAAUGUAGGCAUAAGUAACGAUAAGGCGGGAGGGAAACCCGCCCACCGAAAGACCAAGGUUUCCUGAUCAACGUUAAUCGGAUCAGGGUCAGUCGGGACCUAAGGCGUAGCUGAAAGGCGAAGUCGAUGGGAAGCCGGUUAAUAUUCCGGCACUUUCUAUGGCUGCGAUGCGGUGACAAAGUAGUGCAGCAUCUGCGUACUGACGGAAUAGUACGUUGAAGGGUGUAGAUAAACGAUUCGUAGGUAAGUCCGCGAGUUGUGUCGAACCUGAUAGUACGUCGAGCCCUCGGGCAAGAUGAUAACGAUGCGAACCAGACUUUCAAGAAAACCCGCUAAGCUUCAGGUCAUAGAGACUCGUACCGUAAACCGACACAGGUGGUCGAGGAGAGGAUCCAAAGGUGCUCGAGAGAUUCAUGGCUAAGGAACUAGGCA